GUCUUAGUAGCUCAAUGGUAGAGCAAUCGUCUUUUAAAUGAUUGGUUGUAGGUUCGAGUCCUAUCUAAGACA
rnacentral:tRNA from 1 species